rnacentral:siRNA from 1 species
AAUGGCGAUUUCAUCUCCUGCUGC